rnacentral:sRNA from 1 species
AUGAGGACAAGGAGACUGAGGGCCGUGCCCCGAGAAUUUGGAAUAAGAUCAAAGCUAAGAGGGCAGUCUAAGUGCAUCGUGUUAUGAGCGGUGGGGCCCUGCCUUCUGUAUUGGCUGGCUUCGAGGACAUCGACGAAGCCGGCCUUCGACUUCCUAUUUUUGCUCUAGAACAUACAUAUAUACUUUAAAAUGAGAGGAACAAUAGCGAAGGAGCAAGGAGGAUGUAGCUGGUACAUAGUAGGUUCUUUUGUUUCGAUGCGCCUUUAAUGUUGGAGAUUAGAGCGUUGGGCAUAAGUACAGAUACAUAUAUUGGAUGCAGCAGGAGUAAUGAGCAUGUUCAAAUAAAAGAAAUGGGUAUAGUAUCACAAUUCAGAAAACAGAGAGUAGAUACUUUCAUAUCUCAUAGCACACAGAUCUUUGCUCGCCGUAAUAAUACAAAGAGGAGAAAUCUAGUAAACAUUCGUCAAAAAAAAAAGGUAGCGUUGGUGCGUUUCAGCAUUCAGCUCGUCCAAAAUGCCGUGGAAACGGAACAACAUCCCUCAGACUGGAAACACCAGCCAGAUAUCCCAGGUAUCGGUCGAACCCAAGUCCAAACCCGCCGUGAGGCGCACUGCCCCAUCUCCU